AACUGGCUGCAAUUCGGGAAGAAC
rnacentral:piRNA from 1 species